GGGUCGUUAGCUCAGUUGGUAGAGCAGUUGACUUUUAAUCAAUUGAUCGCAGGUUCGAAUCCUGCACGACCCACCA
rnacentral:tRNA from 2 species